GGGUUGUGAGGUUAAGCGACUAAGCGUACACGGUGGAUGCCCUGGCAGUCAGAGGCGAUGAAGGACGUGCUAAUCUGCGAUAAGCGUCGGUAAGGUGAUAUGAACCGUUAUAACCGGCGAUUUCCGAAUGGGGAAACCCAGUGUGAUUCGUCACACUAUCAUUAACUGAAUCCAUAGGUUAAUGAGGCGAACCGGGGGAACUGAAACAUCUAAGUACCCCGAGGAAAAGAAAUCAACCGAGAUUCCCCCAGUAGCGGCGAGCGAACGGGGAGCAGCCCAGAGCCUGAAUCAGUGUGUGUGUUAGUGGAAGCGUCUGGAAAGGCGCGCGAUACAGGGUGACAGCCCCGUACACAAAAAUGCACAUGCUGUGAGCUCGAUGAGUAGGGCGGGACACGUGGUAUCCUGUCUGAAUAUGGGGGGACCAUCCUCCAAGGCUAAAUACUCCUGACUGACCGAUAGUGAACCAGUACCGUGAGGGAAAGGCGAAAAGAACCCCGGCGAGGGGAGUGAAAAAGAACCUGAAACCGUGUACGUACAAGCAGUGGGAGCACGCUUAGGCGUGUGACUGCGUACCUUUUGUAUAAUGGGUCAGCGACUUAUAUUCUGUAGCAAGGUUAACCGAAUAGGGGAGCCGAAGGGAAACCGAGUCUUAACUGGGCGUUAAGUUGCAGGGUAUAGACCCGAAACCCGGUGAUCUAGCCAUGGGCAGGUUGAAGGUUGGGUAACACUAACUGGAGGACCGAACCGACUAAUGUUGAAAAAUUAGCGGAUGACUUGUGGCUGGGGGUGAAAGGCCAAUCAAACCGGGAGAUAGCUGGUUCUCCCCGAAAGCUAUUUAGGUAGCGCCUCGUGAAUUCAUCUCCGGGGGUAGAGCACUGUUUCGGCAAGGGGGUCAUCCCGACUUACCAACCCGAUGCAAACUGCGAAUACCGGAGAAUGUUAUCACGGGAGACACACGGCGGGUGCUAACGUCCGUCGUGAAGAGGGAAACAACCCAGACCGCCAGCUAAGGUCCCAAAGUCAUGGUUAAGUGGGAAACGAUGUGGGAAGGCCCAGACAGCCAGGAUGUUGGCUUAGAAGCAGCCAUCAUUUAAAGAAAGCGUAAUAGCUCACUGGUCGAGUCGGCCUGCGCGGAAGAUGUAACGGGGCUAAACCAUGCACCGAAGCUGCGGCAGCGACGCUGAUGCGUUGUUGGGUAGGGGAGCGUUCUGUAAGCCUGUGAAGGUGUGCUGUGAGGCAUGCUGGAGGUAUCAGAAGUGCGAAUGCUGACAUAAGUAACGAUAAAGCGGGUGAAAAGCCCGCUCGCCGGAAGACCAAGGGUUCCUGUCCAACGUUAAUCGGGGCAGGGUGAGUCGACCCCUAAGGCGAGGCCGAAAGGCGUAGUCGAUGGGAAACAGGUUAAUAUUCCUGUACUUGGUGUUACUGCGAAGGGGGGACGGAGAAGGCUAUGUUGGCCGGGCGACGGUUGUCCCGGUUUAAGCGUGUAGGCUGGUUUUCCAGGCAAAUCCGGAAAAUCAAGGCUGAGGCGUGAUGACGAGGCACUACGGUGCUGAAGCAACAAAUGCCCUGCUUCCAGGAAAAGCCUCUAAGCAUCAGGUAACAUCAAAUCGUACCCCAAACCGACACAGGUGGUCAGGUAGAGAAUACCAAGGCGCUUGAGAGAACUCGGGUGAAGGAACUAGGCAAAAUGGUGCCGUAACUUCGGGAGAAGGCACGCUGAUAUGUAGGUGAAGCGACUUGCUCGUGGAGCUGAAAUCAGUCGAAGAUACCAGCUGGCUGCAACUGUUUAUUAAAAACACAGCACUGUGCAAACACGAAAGUGGACGUAUACGGUGUGACGCCUGCCCGGUGCCGGAAGGUUAAUUGAUGGGGUUAGCGCAAGCGAAGCUCUUGAUCGAAGCCCCGGUAAACGGCGGCCGUAACUAUAACGGUCCUAAGGUAGCGAAAUUCCUUGUCGGGUAAGUUCCGACCUGCACGAAUGGCGUAAUGAUGGCCAGGCUGUCUCCACCCGAGACUCAGUGAAAUUGAACUCGCUGUGAAGAUGCAGUGUACCCGCGGCAAGACGGAAAGACCCCGUGAACCUUUACUAUAGCUUGACACUGAACAUUGAGCCUUGAUGUGUAGGAUAGGUGGGAGGCUUUGAAGUGUGGACGCCAGUCUGCAUGGAGCCGACCUUGAAAUACCACCCUUUAAUGUUUGAUGUUCUAACGUUGACCCGUGAUCCGGGUUGCGGACAGUGUCUGGUGGGUAGUUUGACUGGGGCGGUCUCCUCCUAAAGAGUAACGGAGGAGCACGAAGGUUGGCUAAUCCUGGUCGGACAUCAGGAGGUUAGUGCAAUGGCAUAAGCCAGCUUGACUGCGAGCGUGACGGCGCGAGCAGGUGCGAAAGCAGGUCAUAGUGAUCCGGUGGUUCUGAAUGGAAGGGCCAUCGCUCAACGGAUAAAAGGUACUCCGGGGAUAACAGGCUGAUACCGCCCAAGAGUUCAUAUCGACGGCGGUGUUUGGCACCUCGAUGUCGGCUCAUCACAUCCUGGGGCUGAAGUAGGUCCCAAGGGUAUGGCUGUUCGCCAUUUAAAGUGGUACGCGAGCUGGGUUUAGAACGUCGUGAGACAGUUCGGUCCCUAUCUGCCGUGGGCGCUGGAGAAUUGAGGGGGGCUGCUCCUAGUACGAGAGGACCGGAGUGGACGCAUCACUGGUGUUCGGGUUGUCAUGCCAAUGGCACUGCCCGGUAGCUAAAUGCGGAAGAGAUAAGUGCUGAAAGCAUCUAAGCACGAAACUUGCCCCGAGAUGAGUUCUCCCUGACUCCUUGAGAGUCCUGAAGGAACGUUGAAGACGACGACGUUGAUAGGCCGGGUGUGUAAGCGCAGCGAUGCGUUGAGCUAACCGGUACUAAUGAACCGUGAGGCUUAACCUUACAACGCCGAAG
rnacentral:rRNA from 1 species